rnacentral:rRNA from 1 species
GGCAAAAUGGUACCGUAACUUCGGGAGAAGGUACGCUCUUGAUGGUGAAGUCCCUUGCGGAUGGAGCUGACGAGAGUCGCAGAUACCAGGUGGCUGCAACUGUUUAUUAAAAACACAGCACUGUGCAAAAUCGUAAGAUGACGUAUACGGUGUGACGCCUGCCCGGUGCCGGAAGGUUAAUUGAUGGGGUUAGACUUCGGUCGAAGCUCUUGAUCGAAGCCCCGGUAAACGGCGGCCGUAACUAUAACGGUCCUAAGGUAGCGAAAUUCCUUGUCGGGUAAGUUCCGACCUGCACGAAUGGCGUAAUGAUGGCCACGCUGUCUCCACCCGAGACUCAGUGAAAUUGAAAUCGCUGUGAAGAUGCAGUGUACCCGCGGCUAGACGGAAAGACCCCGUGAACCUUUACUACAGCUUGGCACUGAACAUUGACCCUACAUGUGUAGGAUAGGUGGGAGGCUUUGAAGCACGUACGCCAGUAUGUGUGGAGCCGUCCUUGAAAUACCACCCUUGUAGUGUUGAUGUUCUAACGUCGACCCCUUAUCGGGGUUGCGGACAGUGCCUGGUGGGUAGUUUGACUGGGGCGGUCUCCUCCCAAAGAGUAACGGAGGAGCACGAAGGUGGGCUAAUCACGGUUGGACAUCGUGAGGUUAGUGCAAUGGCAUAAGCCCGCUUGACUGCGAGAAUGACAAUUCGAGCAGGUGCGAAAGCAGGUCAUAGUGAUCCGGUGGUUCUGAAUGGAAGGGCCAUCGCUCAACGGAUAAAAGGUACUCCGGGGAUAACAGGCUGAUACCGCCCAAGAGUUCAUAUCGACGGCGGUGUUUGGCACCUCGAUGUCGGCUCAUCACAUCCUGGGGCUGAAGUCGGUCCCAAGGGUAUGGCUGUUCGCCAUUUAAAGUGGUACGCGAGCUGGGUUUAGAACGUCGUGAGACAGUUCGGUCCCUAUCUGCCGUGGGCGUUGGAAGAUUGAAGGGGGCUGCUCCUAGUACGAGAGGACCGGAGUGGACGAACCUCUGGUGUUCGGGUUGUGUCGCCAGACGCAUUGCCCGGUAGCUAAGUUCGGAAUCGAUAACCGCUGAAAGCAUCUAAGCGGGAAGCGAGCCCUGAGAUGAGUCUUCCCUGAUACUUUAAGUAUCCUAAAGGGUUGUCGGAGACUACGACGUUGAUAGGUCAGGUGUGUAAGUGCUGUGAGGCAUUGAGCUAACUGAUACUAAUUGCCCGUGAGGCUUAACCAU